GAUCAUGGCUCAGAACGAACGCUGGCGGCAUGCCUAACACAUGCAAGUCGAACGAGAUCUUCGGAUCUAGUGGCGCACGGGUGCGUAACGCGUGGGAAUCUGCCCUUUGGUUCGGAAUAACAGUUGGAAACGACUGCUAAUACCGGAUGAUGACGUAAGUCCAAAGAUUUAUCGCCAGAGGAUGAGCCCGCGUAGGAUUAGCUAGUUGGUGUGGUAAGAGCGCACCAAGGCGACGA
rnacentral:rRNA from 1 species